rnacentral:rRNA from 1 species
UGGAUUAGCUAGUUGGUGGGGUAAAGGCCUACCAAGGCGACGAUCCAUAGCUGGUCUGAGAGGAUGAUCAGCCACAUUGGGACUGAGACACGGCCCAAACUCCUACGGGAGGCUGCAGUCGAGAAUCUUCGGCAAUGGGCGCAAGCCUGACCGAGCGACGCCGCGUGGAGGACGAAGGCCUUCGGGUUGUAAACUCCUGUCGAGGGGGAAGAAGGCCCCGCAAGGGGCUUGACUGAUCCCUGGAGGAAGCACGGGCUAAGUUCGUGCCAGCGGCCGCGGUAAGACGAACCGUGCGAACGUUAUUCGGAAUCACUGGGCUUAAAGCGCGUGUAGGUGGGACGGCACGUCGGUCGCUGAAAGCCCCCGGCUCAACCGGGGAAGGGGCGCCGAUACGACCGGCCUGGAGGGACGUAGGGGGACCUGGAACUUCCGGUGGAACGGUGAAAUGCGUUGAGAUCGGAAGGAACGCCCGUGGCGAAAGCGGGGUCCUGGACGUUUUCUGACACUGAGACGCGAAAGCCAGGGGAGCGAACGGGAUUAGAUACCCCGGUAGUCCUGGCCGUAAACGAUGGGCACUGGGUAGGGGCUCGCCGAUGGGCUCCCUGCCGUAGGGAAACCGUGAAGUGCCCGCCUGGGGAGUAUGGUCGCAAGGCUGAA